UUUAUUAAUGUAUAUAUUACAUUACAUUGUGUAGAUAAAAAUUGUUGACAUUUUAUAGAUAAGUUACAAAUCUAUAUUAGUUUGUGAAAAAUAAAAGAAAAAAUAUUUGGAACUACAUGUAUUAAUUAUAUUUGAUUAUAAUUUGAAAAUAGAUAUACACUGUAUUACAUCAUAUCUAAUUUUAGAGAACUAUUAAUCAUAUCUAAUGUUAAAGUGCUUUCCACACUUUUUUUCAUCAUGCUUGAAGAUAUUGAUUGAUAAUUGGUAUAUAGUUUUUUAAUGACAAGUUAUACAGAUCAAGUUCGAAAUUUUGUUUCGGUUUGAUAAUUUUGUGCAGAGUUAUGGUCCUUGGACUUGAAAAAUUCACUCAUUUAAUCAGUUUUCCACACUGUUUUAGUCAUGCUUGAAGAUAUUGACUUGAUAUUUUCUUUUUGUUUACACCAUGACAAGUUAUAGAACAAGUUAGCUUUUUGUUCCAGUAUAAUGAAUUUUUACCCGGUAGGGGACUAUGUAUUGCCAUGCAAUACUCUCAGAAUGCUUGUUGAAACAGUUUCUCAUCAGUGUUCCGACAUCAUGCGCAGAUUUGUAUGUAAUAAGUAUCCUGAGUCUGUACAGAAGAAAUUAGCAGUCAUAUUCAAGUUUUUGUCAACAAAUCAUUCUUUGUCAUCAUUAAUUCCUUUUCGCUACACAGAUCUUUUGGAUUCGAUUUUGUUGGAAUUGAGAACAUCCACACAAAACCACAGAAUAAAUUUGAUAUCUGAUUUUUCUCCUGAAAUUCGUGAUACUUUAUAUGCUGCUUUGCCUUAUGAACAGUCACUUUCUGAUGUUAUUUCUUUAUUUCAGUAUCUAGUCUUAAGAAUUCAACAUAUAACGAAAAGAAUAAAGGGUCAGCCAUCUUCGUACAAUCCUGAAAGAUAUGGUCCAGCCUUCUACUUUAUACCCAGUGGAGAGAAGCUUAGAGACAUUCCAAUUUAUACCAUGAAUGAAAGUGCACAUUCAAAGAAUUAUGAUGACCUAUCUGAUGAGCAGUGUAAUAAGAUAUAUCCUGAGGUCUCCAGACGUGGUACUACCUACUUAUUUCUUUGGUUUGACCCUAAGCACUAUGGUCAUUGUUAUGGUUUUCAUAUCAUUCCAGGAUCUGAAGGGAGGAAAGACCCUUUCUCUUCUGCCUAUUCAUACUUAUAACAUGCUCCAGAAGAGGUAUUUUCUGAUUUUACAUGUCAGUUUGAGGAGUACUGUUUGAACAGGGAACCUGGUUUCUGGGAGAAUACACGAUUUUGGCACGAUUUAUUUCAUGGUUACAGUCACAAAUGUCCUUUCUGCUACAAGUCCCAGAGAAUUUGUCCAUUGCAGGGCUUGAACACAGAGAUAUGUGAGCAUUUCAACUCAUUCAUCCACAAAAUCAAAUAUUCUGCCAGAUCUAUUUCACCUUCAAUUCAUGAUUCAUCAGUGGUGUGAAAUGAAACGCUCGUCAUUUGAACAGAGCUGCAUAUUUAGCCUGAAUUGACGACAACAAAAAAACAACAUUAGAUACACCUAAUCUGGUAAUUUAUAAAAGUUUGUUUUUUCAUUGAAUUCCGACAAUAUCAAAAUAAUGAGAUUUGGUAUGAUUGCCAAUGCGGCAACUAUCAACCAAAGUCCAAGAGAAGUGGAUGUUAGCAAUUAUAGUCCACCAUAUGGCCUUCAACAAUAAGAAAAAGUACAUUCUAUGGUGUGAACAAAAAGUAUAUAGUAAGGGCAUUUUCAUUCAUGGCAUAUUGGUUUGUUAGCAGUAAGGAUAUACAAAAGGUAAUCUAGAAAAGUAUGUUGUCAUAAUAAAGAAUUAUUUUCAAAUAAAUAUGAGAGAAAAAUUCUCUUUUGUAUAAUAUGCAUCACUGAAGUGUUCAAUUAAAUGGGGAUGAUUACAGGAUGAUUCUUCAAAUAUAAUGUGACAAAGAUCCAUCCGUAUCAAUUUUGAGAUCAGUUUGUUGAAUAAAGGUCAAAAUUUAAAAAAAAAAAAGAUGAUGCUUCCCAAUAAAUUAAGAAUUUCCAAAGUUUUCUGACAGAAAUUUGAAUAUAUAGCAAUAUGGUGUAUCAGUCAAUGAUGGACACCUAACAACACAAAAAAAAACUAAGAGAAAAAAUAAAGUACUGUUAAUCUCUUCAUGAUUGCAUCAUAAUGUUUAAUGAAGAAAAUUGUUCAUGGUUUGACCUAAACCUGUGUUUUGAUGUUGAGUGGCUUAAAUAAUUUUCAUUUUAAAUGUGUACUGGCUCUGUUGUUUGGUCUUUUUUUCAGGUCAGAAGAACCAGAGAAUUAUCAAUGAAUUCUUAAAGGAUGUGGUCAAGAAGACGAAAGAAGCUGUUGUCUGUCAGGAGAUAUUAUGUUUUUAAUUUUGACUGACAAUUUUAUUGUUGUUAUUGUCAUUAAAUGGCACAAAUGAAUUGAAGACUGUAGUUCUAUUUUUUAUUAUUUGUUCAUAUAUUAUGUUGUAUAUAAGAAUAUUUUUAAUUAUUAUUUUUUGAGUCUGCAAAUUUAUGUAUCAGACACGAGACAAAGUAAUCUUACAUUCAUGUGGUCUGUAAAGAAAUGUUUUUUAAAUGGACCUCAUUUUUUCUAUAUUUAACAGAUUAUGUAUCUUGGAGUGUUCUCAUUACCUAACCUGUAACAUGUUGAUAAAUUUGUACUUUAUAAUCCUAUGAAAGAUUUUAUGUCAAAAAAUGUUAUAACCAGUUACCAUUGUCAGGUAUCCACUUUCAGGAAUGCCACUUGCCUAUAAUAUCAAGCUACAAAAUGUUACUAAAUAUCUAGGUUUGAGGUAUAUGCUUAAUCUAAAAUAAGGAAAUGUGGUAUGAUUGCCAAUGAGACAAGUAUCCUAAGAUGGCAACCAAUUCCAAUCUAUGGAAUACAGGCCCUUUAUUUGGGACUUUUAUUACAGAAUGAAUUGGAGUUUUAACGUGGUUGUGAGCGUGAAACCCUUCCCCUAACCUGAAAACAGUAGACUGUGAUAGCACAACAUAACAACUAAACAUUAGUUGAAAUGGUAUGACUCGUUGUAUUGGUACAAAGCCCAAAAACAACUUACAAAUGACAAAAGAGUAGCGAUGUAACAGAUAACAAAGGAACUGAAAGCUUGUUCAAAACAGACAACAUGUAACGAUGAUAUUUUUCAUUAAGCAUUUUCGUCCUAGACUACAGAAUAUCAAAAUACAUAAAUCUAUUUUAUUAGCUCACCGGGGCCCAAAGGGCCCCAUGUGAGCUUAUGCCAUCACUUGGCGUCCGUCGUCGUCUGUCGUCGUUGUCUGUCAUCGUCGUCUGUCGUCGUAAUUUAUUUCAAAAAUCUUCUCCUCUGAAACUACUGGGCCAAAUACCUUCAAACUUUAACUAAAUGUUCCUUAGGGUAUCUAGUUUAUGAAUUAUAUCCGAAGUUUUGAUCCAUCGACAAACAUGGCCGCCAUGGCUAAAAAGAGAACAUAGGGGUCAAAUGCAGUUUUUGGCUUAUAUCUCAAAAACUAAAGCUUUUUGAGCAAAUCUGACAAGGUGCAAAAUUGUUCAAUUGGUCAAGAUCUAUCAGCUCUGAAAUUUUCAGACGAAUCGAACAACCCAUUGUUGGGUUGCCACCACCGAAUUGGUAGUUUUAACAAAAUUUUGCAGUUUUUUGUUAUUAUUUUGAAUAUUAUUAUAAAUAUAUAUAAACUGUAAGCAGCAAUAAUGUUCAGCAAAGUAAGAUCUACAAAAAAGUUAAUAUGACCAUAAUUAUCAAUUGCCCCUUAAGGAGUUAUUGCCCUUUAAAGACAAUUUUACACAAUUUGUUCAUCAAGUUUGCUAACAUUUAAAAAUCUUCUCCUCUGAAAUACAGGUGAGCGAUUCAGGCUCUUGAGAGCCUCUUGUUUAAGUUUGUUGAAUUUAAAUACCUUCUUCAAAACUAUGAUCUAUGAAAUUUAGACAAUAGAUCGCUUCUUCUUGAUAAAGAGGUAGCAAUGUGAGAAAAUCUUUAUUCUUUUUUCAUUUUCUGUAUUUUAUUUAUGAAUAGACUUGGUUUUUUGGUAGGUAAGGUUGUUCUCUUUCAUUGACCACAAUAGCAGCAUGUUGAGUCCGGGGUCCAUUAAGUACAGUUUUUUAAUAACAUAAAGCAUAUUCCGGGUGCGGGAAUUUCUUGCUGCAUUGAAGACCUGUUGGUGACCUUCUGCUGUUGUCUGUUCUAUGGUCGGGUUGUUGUCUCUUUGACACAUUCCCCAUUUCCAUUCUCAAUUUUAUUAUAUAAAUGUUGGGUUUUUAUUUUAUUUAAAAGAAAGUACAAUAAAAAGAACCAAGGUAUGGAAUUUUCUUGAUGUGCAGUUACAUUUGUAAGCCUAUAAAUUGAUGUAUACAUAUUUCAUUCUCCAAUAAAAUUUCUUUAUGCA